AGUAACGGCGAGUGAAGCGGCAACAGCUCAAAUUUGAAAUCUGGCUUCGGCCCGAGUUGUAAUUUGCAGAGGAAGCUUUAGGCGCGGCACCUUCUGAGUCCCCUGGAACGGGGCGCCAUAGAGGGUGAGAGCCCCGUAUAGUUGGAUGCCUAGCCUGUGUAAAGCUCCUUCGACGAGUCGAGUAGUUUGGGAAUGCUGCUCAAAAUGGGAGGUAAAUUUCUUCUAAAGCUAAAUACCGGCCAGAGACCGAUAGCGCACAAGUAGAGUGAUCGAAAGAUGAAAAGCACUUUGAAAAGAGGGUUAAAUAGCACGUGAAAUUGUUGAAAGGGAAGCGCUUGUGACCAGACUUGCGCCGGGCGGAUCAUCCGGUGUUCUCACCGGUGCACUCCGCCCGGCUCAGGCCAGCAUCGGUUCUCGCGGGGGGAUAAAGGUCCUGGGAACGUAGCUCCUCCGGGAGUGUUAUAGCCCGGGGCGUAAUGCCCUCGCGGGGACCGAGGUUCGCGCAUCUGCAAGGAUGCUGGCGUAAUGGUCAUCAGCGACCCGUCUUGAAACACGGACCAAGGAGUCAAGGUUUUGCGCGAGUGUUUGGGUGUGAAACCCGCACGCGUAAUGAAAGUGAACGUAGGUGAGAGCUUCGGCGCAUCAUCGACCGAUCCUGAUGUUUUCGGAUGGAUUUGAGUAGGAGCGUUAAGCCUUGGACCCGAAAGAUGGUGAACUAUGCUUGGAUAGGGUGAAGCCAGAGGAAACUCUGGUGGAGGCUCGCAGCGGUUCUGACGUGCAAAUCGAUCGUCAAAUCUGAGCA
rnacentral:rRNA from 1 species